CCUUUCUUUCUCUGUAAUUAAUAAUCAUGCAAUCCAGACAAAUCAGUCAUUAUUGUAAGUUGUUUGUAUAAGUUAAUUUAAUUUCUUCCUUUACAAGUUGUUGCCUAUAAUAUAACAUGUGUUUCACUAUCUGGCAGUUCAUUUAAUAACAUAGGUCACUACACUUUUGUGGGCAAUUGGUGAAUAUUUAGUUAUAUUUAUUAUUGUACUGGAUUUUAAGCUUACAAAUACUUUAAAUUUCUCUAUCAGUAUUUAACCUGCAUAUUUAAAACCAAAUUGUUUAAAAGUCACAAGGGGAAAGAAUUCACAUAAUGCAAAUUAUAAAUAUAAGCAGAUAAACAGAUGAAGUCAUUUUUCAUCUUAUAGUUACUGAUAUGGUUUGGCUGUGUCUCCACCCAAAUCUCAUCUUGAAUUGUAGUUCCCAUAAUCCCCACAUGUCGUGGAAGGGACCUGGUGGAAGGCAGUUGAUUAUGGGGGUGGUUUCCCCAUGCUGUUCUCAUGAUAGUGAGUGAGUUCUCAUGAGAUUUGACAGUUUAUAACGGACAUUUCCCCCCUUUGCUUGACACCUCUCCGUUGUGCUGCCAUAUGAAGAGGGACGUGUUUGCUUCCCCUUCCACCAUGAUUUUUAGUUUACUGAGACCUUCCCAACCCUGCAGAACUAUUCAACUAUACUGAAAAGAUUCAGAAAAGGAAUUGGGGCAACGUCUCGUCUCUUGGAGGCUGUUUAGUAGAAAUUCAUAAAAGUCCCUCACUAGAUCAAGGAGUUUGUUUGUUAAUUAAUAUGAGUGGAAGAUCUUGGUGCACACGAUCCUGGAAGACACCUGGCCAAGCAUGAAAUGGAUGGGAGCCAAAGAAGCACAGAAUUAGACUAAACUGAGAGAGCUGAACAGAACUUUUCAGAACAUUUGGCAUAACUUCUUAUAUUAUAGUUGAGAAGUUUGGAGAGAGAUAGGUUAAAUAACUUUCCUAAGUUACAAAACUCAACCUACAAUGGAAAAAAAAUCACAAGCGUUAUUCUCUGCAAGUCCACUUUCUUUAACUUUUUUUUGACAAUUAUAUUCAACUGACGUGAGAAUACUCUUCUCUGACAGAAAUUCUCAUCUGUAUCUCAGGAACACUUCAUGGAGAGGAAUAAACCUGAGAUAAAGCAAGUUGUUGUUUAUUUUUGGUUUUGUUUUAAUGAAAGCAUCUGAUUGAAGCCAAUUUCAGCAGCCAGACAGAGAUGGCAGACCCAAUACUGAUGUUUUGCCUGAACUGGCCAUCUGCCUGGCAAAGGCAAUCAGAACUACAAGUUGAAAUAAGAUGUAUUAUAUGGUACAAUCUGAGUUUCAGUUACAUAAUAAUAAUAAUAAUGUGAAUAAAAUCUAACAGAUACAGAGGCAGUGUGUUGGCACAGGUUCUUUGUGUACUUAAUCUUAUUUCACAGUAACUUCAUGAGAUAGACAUUACGAUCAUUCCUAUUUUUACAGAUGAGGAAAUGAGAAUUAAAGAGGAAAAAGUAUUAGACUGAACUGUUUUGACCUGUAAUUUGACCUAGUAAUGUCCUUGUUACAUGAAUACAAGUCUACCAAACCCCAGAAUUACAGGAUACUGGGAAUUGCUUACUAUCUUACUACUUCAGAAGGUCCCUGAAGGAAAGGACCCAUUGCCAGAAACUCAGUGACCAGGAUUUCUGUUUUCCUUGCUAUUGCACACAUGUGUUGUCAUUCUAUGUACAUUGGUAUUCCAGCAACCCAGAGAUUUCUGAAAAAUGAAGUUCUUAUUUUAAAGAAUCUCUACAUGUGCGAGCCAUCUAAACUGUAUAAGCCGUUAUCCAGGCAAGCUCUUAUUUUACUCCCAUCAGUUUCAUUAUUGAUCUCGUUAGAUACUUAACGCAUUGUUCUCUUUAAAAUUUAUUUUAAAACGAAGAUAAUUAGUUAUCUGGGUCACAUAUAAAUCAAGUUUUUGAAUGUUUUGGUUUUCGAACCACAGAGCCUUGGCUAUAUAACUGCAAUAUGAUUAUCGCUAUGUGAUGACAGCUACCUGAAUAACAGUCUUAAUUGUUGGAAUGGAAGUAUGAAGAGGCCUACCUUGGCCAAUUAAUUCCUAUUUCAUUGCAGAAAAAAUAUAUAGCCAGUGGUUUAGAUUAGCAUCAAUUUUGUUGGGCCACUUAGGAUUUCUUACAUAUGAUUAACACCAGAUAAUUUUUUGGUUAUUUAUAAGCAACUAAAGGAGUUUACUGAUAUAAACAGAUAUACUCUCUUGCUCAUUCAUCAUAGUUCCACACUUUUCAUUUCUCUUGGAAAUAUAAAUUACAUCUAGGAGAUUAAGAAAUUUGGUAUUAGAGUAAUAGAGAUUUAAACUUUUGCCUUUGUAAUUGACGACAGCAGUUAAAGGGGAUGGCAACCCCACUUCCCUAUUGUUUCAUGGGCCACUGGGAUCAAGCGAGACAGUUAUUUUUAGAUGUGAAGAGCAAUGGAAGACACUAUCCCAUUCAGACACCAAGAAAGUCUCACUUCUUUCACCUCCAAAGAAGCAUCAAGUAUCCUUGAUGUCCAUAUCAGUGAACAAUAUUUAGAAAUCUCUAUCUCUCUUUGGCUGCUUCUUAGCAAAGAUUCCCUGAAUGUUUCCUUUAUGAAAGCCACUAUGAAAGGGAAUAUGUGUGGUAGUGGUUUUCCUCAGAGUUGUCAGAGAGGUUCUGUUGUCCUGAAAACAGAGCUAAACUAAGGGCAUAACCAAAGACUGUCUGGUUUGAUGAGUGCCCUUUGCCUACUGGGAUUUAAUUAUGCUUGUUUAUUUCAGAUUAGAUUUUCUCAUUGUACUUUUCUCUCAAAGGAAAGGUUAGCCUUCAGCAGAUAAAUGGGAAACCUUGGAAAAAUAUCAGAAGAAUGCUUGAAUAAUUUUUUUAGGUCUACAUAAGGAGAAUAUUAUAAAAAGAAAAUAGAAUAGCACCUGUGGUAGUAAAGAAGCUAUACUUGUGCGUAUACAGCCAUGCAUCCCAUACCAAUGUUUGAAACAAUAAAUCACAUAUACGAUGGUGGUCCCAUAAGAUUAUAAUGGAGCUGAAAAAUUCCUACUGCCUAGUGACAUUGUAGCCAUCAUAAUAUUGUAGUACAAUGCAUUUUUAAUGUGUUUUUGUGAUGCUGCACUCAAUAAACAUAAACAUACUGUACUUUUAGUCAUAUGAAUAUAACACACAAAAUUAUGUACAGUACAUAACAUGAUAAUGACAAUAAAAUAGUAUGUUACUGUUUUAUGUAGUUACUAUACUUUUUAAUAAUUUUUUAGAGUACCUUUCUAGAUUUUUUUAAAAAUUAACUGUAAAACAGCCUCAAGCAGGUCCUUCAAGAGGCAUUCCAGAAGAAGGCAUUAUUAUCAUAGGAGAUGACAGUUAUUGACCCCGAAGACCUCCCAGUGGGACAAGAUGUGGAGGUGAAAAACGAGAUAUCGAUGAUCUUGAUCCUGCAUAGGUCUAGGCUAAUGUGUGUGUUUGUGUUUUAGUUUUUCACAAAAAAAGUUUAAAAAGUUGAAAAAAAUUAAAAAUAGAAAAUGCUUAUAGAAUAAAGAUUUGAAGAAAGAAAAUAUUUUUGUACAGCUGUACAAUGUAUUUGUGUUUUGAAGCCAAGUGUUAAAAUAGAGUCAAAAAGGUAAAAAAAUUAAAAAACUUAUAAAUUAAAAAUGUUACUGUAAGCUGAGAUGCAUUUGUAUUAAUAUAACUUUUUAAAGUAAAUUUAGUGUAGUCUACAUGUGCAGUGUUUAUAAAGCCUACAGUAGUGUACAGUAAUGUCCUAGGCCUUCACAUUCACUUACCCUCAUGCACUGACUCACGCAGAACAACUUAGAGUCCCGCAACCUCCAUUUAUGGUAACUGCCCUAUACAGGUAUACCAUUUUUUACCUUUUAUACCACAAUUGUACAUACCUUUUCUAUAUUUAGAUAUUUUUAGAUCCCUCAAAUACUUACCAUUGUGUUACAGUUGUCUACAGGAUUCAGUAUGCCAAUAAGCUAUGUAGGUUUAUAGCAUAGGAGCAAUAGGCUAUACCAUAUAGCCUAGGCACGUGGUAGGCUAUGCCAUCUAGGAUUGUGGACGUACACUCCAUGAUGCUUGCACAAUGAUGGAACCACCUAGUGACACGUUUCUUAGAAUGUAUCCUUGUAGUUAUGCAAUGCAUGAUUGUACUUAUUAGAAGAGUAUUUUUCAAAUAGGCAUUAAAGCAUCUUCAUAUAAA